GCGUUGUUCGUAUUCAUUGGGCGUAAAGGGUGCGUAGGUGGCUCCAUAAGUCGGGUGUGAAAUUUCGGAGCUUAACUCCGAAACUGCAUUCGAUACUGUGGUGCUUGAGGACUGGAGAGGAGACUGGAAUUUACGGUGGAGCAGUGAAAUGCGUAGAGAUCGUAAGGAAGACCAGUGGCGAAGGCGGGUCUCUGGACAGUUCCUGACACUGAGGCACGAAGGCCAG
rnacentral:rRNA from 1 species